CUUGCUGCUUCGCUGACGAGUGGCGGACGGGUGAGUAAUGUCUGGGAAACUGCCUGAUGGAGGGGGAUAACUACUGGAAACGGUAGCUAAUACCGCAUAACGUCGCAAGACCAAAGAGGGGGACCUUCGGGCCUCUUGCCAUCGGAUGUGCCCAGAUGGGAUUAGCUAGUAGGUGGGGUAACGGCUCACCUAGGCGACGAUCCCUAGCUGGUCUGAGAGGAUGACCAGCCACACUGGAACUGAAACACGGACCAGACUCCUACGGGAGGCAGCAGUGGGGAAUAUUGCACAAUGGGCGCAAGCCUGAUGCAGCCAUGCCGCGUGUAUGAAGAAGGCCUUCGGGUUGUAAAGUACUUUCAGCGGGGAGGAAGGGAGUAAAGUUAAUACCUUUGCUCAUUGACGUUACCCGCAAAAGAAGCACCGGCUAACUCCGUGCCAGCAGCCGCGGUAAUACGGAGGGUGCAAGCGUUAAUCGGAAUUACUGGGCGUAAAGCGCACGCAGGCGGUUUGUUAAUUCAGAUGUGAAAUCCCCGGGCUCAACCUGGGAACUGCAUCUGAUACUGGCAAGCUUGAGUCUCGUAGAGGGGGGUAGAAUUCCAUGGUUAACCGGUGAAAAAGGACAGUGAACUCCAUGUGUUAGC
rnacentral:rRNA from 1 species